UACAAGCAGACUAGUACUAGGAGCAAAAGCAAUUGGGAGAAUUCUUUAUUUCCUUGCAAGGAAGCUUGGCCUGUUUAAGAAGUGGUUUUGAUUCCUUCAUUCAAGGUAAAAUACUUUAGUCUGAAGGAACCAUUGCAAUGCUUCUUCCAGAAAUGUGGAUUAAGUUUUUAGUAAUAGUUUGUUAUUCAUAUUAAUAACAACACCUAGAGACAUCAUUGUAGACCAGGAGUUUUUCAGUCACCUACUAAGGUUCCAAUCAGCUAAAUAUUUGGACCAUACAGUGAAGUGCUGUAACUAAAUUUGACCACACAGAAACCAGGGUUUAGGAAUGCUGAAGUCUAACCUAACUAUUCCCUCUUUUGGUCUACAGAAAUUUAUUUUGAAAUUCAUGGCUGGGAAUCAACUUUUAACAGACUCACUGUGCCAAGAGGGCUCCCGGCUAAGCCCUUGGUGAUGAACAUAAAAUCCAUUUUAAAAUCUUUUGUCACCAUUCAGCCCAACGUCACCAAGAAAACCCUACAGAAUGUACACCUGCUCAUUGCUUCCAGAUUUUGCUGCCAUCUCCCAGAGCCCAGAGCUCUCCAUCUGACCUGCUGUAUGAGAAGACUUUGCAAACCUCUGACAUGGUCUGAGCAGACUGAAGAUCGGAACUCAGACUGCAAGUUGACAGACUUCAAAAAAUAGUUUUGUUGU
rnacentral:lncRNA from 1 species